rnacentral:lncRNA from 10 species
UUGAACUCCAGUGUUGAAGAUGGGGCUGAAUGGGAGGUGUUUGGUCAUGAGGCAGAUCUCUCAUGAAUAGAUUAAUGCCCUUCUAUGGUGGUGAGUGGGUUCUCGCUCUGUUAGUUCCCGGAGAGUUGGUUGUUAAAAAGAGCCUGGCACCUCUCCCCUCUGCUCGUGCUUCUUCUCUCACCAUGUGAUAUCUACACAUGCCCUCUUGAUGAGUGGAAGCAGCCUGAGGCCCUUACCAGAGGCAGAUGCCCAAUCUUGAACUUUCCAGACACCACAUUGUGGACCAAAUAAAUCUUUUUUCCUUUAUAAAUUACCCACCCUCAGGUAUUUCUUUAUAGGAUCACAGAUAAUUGGCUCACCAUUCUAUAGACUGUAUAGGAAACAUAGCUAGGGAGGCCUCAGGAAACUUACAAUCAUGGCAGGAGGUGAAAGUGAAGCCAGUACAUCCUACAUGGCUGGAGCAGGAGGAAGUGAGAGUGAUGGGUGUAAACAAUCAGAAAAAUAAUAGAUUGUAGCCUUCAAAAAACGAUGGCCUUACAAAACAAAUAAACAAAAAGUUUGUGUGGGUGUGUACAUGCAAGGGCUAAUCUCAAAUGCAGAAAGACCAGAAUACAAUAACAAAUAUAAUUCUUGAAAGUGGAUUUCAUCUUGGUUUACCAAAAAUAGCUAUGAGGGAAAUUUGGGUAAGAAUUAGAGAAUUCUGAAUAUAGAAUGAAUUAAAACAUAUUAUGAAUUAAGUUAAUAUUUUUGAUGUUUUCUUUUGAUAUGUUCUUUUAGAAUAUGUAAUAUCCCUAUUUAUUGGAGAUGUGU